AGAGUUUGAUCAUGGCUCAGGACGAACGCUGGCGGCGUGCUUAACACAUGCAAGUCGAACGGUAAGGCCCUUUCGGGGGUACACGAGUGGCGAACGGGUGAGUAACACGUGGGUGAUCUGCCCUGCACUUUGGGAUAAGCCUGGGAAACUGGGUCUAAUACCGAAUAUUCCUUGCUGGUCGCAUGGCCUGGUGGGGGAAAGCUUUUGCGGUGUGGGAUGGGCCCGCGGCCUAUCAGCUUGUUGGUGGGGUGAUGGCCUACCAAGGCGACGACGGGUAGCCGGCCUGAGAGGGUGUCCGGCCACACUGGGACUGAGAUACGGCCCAGACUCCUACGGGAGGCAGCAGUGGGGAAUAUUGCACAAUGGGCGCAAGCCUGAUGCAGCGACGCCGCGUGAGGGAUGACGGCCUUCGGGUUGUAAACCUCUUUCAGUACAGACGAAGCGUAAGUGACGGUAUGUACAGAAGAAGCACCGGCCAACUACGUGCCAGCAGCCGCGGUAAUACGUAGGGUGCGAGCGUUGUCCGGAAUUACUGGGCGUAAAGAGCUCGUAGGUGGUUUGUCGCGUUGUUCGUGAAAACCGGGGGCUUAACCCUCGGCGUGCGGGCGAUACGGGCAGACUUGAGUACUGCAGGGGAGACUGGAAUUCCUGGUGUAGCGGUGGAAUGCGCGAUAUCAGGAGGAACACCGGUGGCGAAGGCGGGUCUCUGGGCAGUAACUGACGCUGAGGAGCGAAAGCGUGGGGAGCGAACAGGAUUAGAUACCCUAGUAGUCC
rnacentral:rRNA from 1 species